GACAAUUUUCUUUUAUAAUAUUGUUUUGAUUCGGUAAAUUUCUUAAUUCAUACCAAAUUUCUCAUCUUCUUUUCUUAAACAUCUCUUUCACAAUUCUUAAUCUUUCUAUACUUAAUGUUCAUGAUUUUAGUGUUGCUACAAAGCUGUCCAUGUAGUUUUUGGCUACAUCUCCGAUAAUAUCCAUCAUCGAUAAAAUUAUUUGUAAGUUUACUUCAGCUUACAUUGUGCAUAAUUUUGCAACAGGUACUAUUGCAUGAUAAACUAAUAAAAUACUGACAUUUGCAUGAGAAAAUAUUGAAAUUAUUUUUUAAAAAAUAAUUGGGGUAGAGAAAGAGAAAUGGGAGAGGGGAUUACAAAUAAAUCAAACUCUCAACAAUUAGGUGAAAAUUUGGGUAUUCAACUAAUUGAACUACUAAAGUUCCCUUUUAAAUAUCGGUAUAAUAGUUGUUUUGGUGACAAGCUCUUGGGGUUAUAAUUUGUAACCUAUGCAGUGUGUCUUGAUCAUAAAAACUUUUUCCUUAGUUUUCGGUAGAACAAACCUUUGAACCAUAAAAUGUUUAUUUACUACAUGAGUUAGCAGCGAAAUCUUAAUUUAAAUAGGCCUUACAGAAGUGUUCUUUGUUCUCAACCAAAUGACAAUUGACAAAGUGGAAGCACUGAGUGAAGCUCUACACAUUUAGCUUGGCUUUUGAGAAUUCCAUUUGUGUUUCUUAGUUGGUUCAGCAUUAUCAUUAUUUAGUAUACAUGUUUUGAGUGUAUAUAUUUGUUCUAUAGGUAGUCUUCUAUAUUUGACACUUUAUAAAGGAUAACUAGAAUGCUCAUGUACUAUUUAUAUAAUUUCAUUUAUAGAUAGUCUUCUAUGCUUGCCACUUUGUAAAGGAUGAAAUUUUGGUUUUGCAUUUAUAAAUUAUGAUUAUUAUGAAGUAUGUAUGUCAAAUUAAUGUUUAAAUCAUAGAUGCAACUAAUAUGAAACACAAAUUAAAUUAUAUUAGAAUUCGAAAUGUUGGGUCCGUACAUAGCACAAGCAUACUUAUCUAGUCCAAAAUGUUCUGUGAAAAGAUAAAUAAAUUUAAUUUUGUAAAUAUGACAGACCGCCAUUUAAUACUUAACGAAUCCUAGUAAUUAAUUUAAUAUAAAUAAAAGUUAAAGUGUACAGACAACGUGCUACACUUACAUAAAACGCCAAAAUACUUUACAAUAAAAAGACAAAGUAACAUUUAUCCCAAUAGAUGGCCUAGACACCAUUAUUAUAAAAAAGAUAAUAUGUCCCACAUAGCUACACUUAAUACUUUCGUUGUAAGAAUAUGAAUAAAUUAUAAAAAUCUUAGACAUAUGUUAAUAUAUCAUAAGUAAAAUAUUCUAAUUUAAGCUAAUUUUUCCGAACGUGCGUGGGGUUACAUGAAUGAUAUUUAUGUUAACAAUAAAUGGAACAUUUUGAGAGAAACCUACUAAUAUGUUAUAAGACAAAUAAAAAAUUAGAGCCCGUUUGAAAUUGCUAUUAGAAAAUAACUUAUAUGAGAAAUACUUUCAUAAAAUAUCUUUUAGAAAAGUGCUUUUAAAAAACAGUAAUUUGUAUUUGAUAAAUUUAUUUGAAAAAUGCUUUUGAUAAAAAGAUUGUGUUUGGAUAAUCUUUUUCAAGAAGUUCUUUAGAGAAACACAUGACCAAAAAUGACAUGUAUCAAUAGGCUUUUACUACUAAAAUUAUUUUAUAAAAUUUAUUUUAAAUCUCUAUUAUAAUAUUUUUAAAUAAAAUGUUAUUUUUAUUUAAUUAAAAAGUACUUAGUAUAAAAAUUUCAAUCAAUAUUUACAUACAUAAAUACAUUAAAAAAUAUUAAAUAAUGCUAUAUUAAAUAAAUAAUUUAAUAAUAACUUCAAAACAUGAAACAAAAAUGAAUUUAAAAAUUAUUUCACUAAUUAAAUCGCCACAUAUGAAAAAAUUCACAACAUAGUAACAAAUAUGUCACUUUUCAUGAUUCUAUUUAAAAUUAAAUAUUCGAGGAAAAAUUUACAAGUGUUGCUAAAAUACCAUUUGAUCUUGCUUAGUAAUUAGUCUGUCAUUUAUUAUCAUAAUAAUAAAACUAAAGAGUUAUAUAUUUUUCGAUCAUCAUCACCAAUGAUAUUCUUAAUUUUAUUUUAUAAAAUAAGUGAAAAAUAAAAUUAUAACGUAUAAAUCAUAGAAUAAAAUAAAAAAUUAUGAUAUAAAUAUGAAGUAUAAAAUUUUUAAAUUAAAUUUGUAAGAUAUGUUAAAUUAAUUAACAAGGAAUAUGUAUAUAUAUAUAUAUAUAUAUGUGUGUGUGUGUGUGUGUGUGUGUGUGUGUGUAUGUAUAUGUGUGUGUGUGUGUGUAUGUAUAUAUGUGUGUGUGUGUGUGAUAAGGAUAUUUUUGUCAUAAAAAAUAAUUUUUUGCUUCUACUUCUGCUCUUUUUGAAAAACAGAAAUUUUUCGCUUCUUCCCAGAAGCAGAACAACAGCUUCUGAUUUUUUUAAAAGCACUUUUGCAAGUUUGUGAAACACUCUUCUUUUCCAAAAAAAAGUGUCUUUUCCUUAAAAAGAAGUUCUUUUCAAAAGGAAAAAAGUAAUCUGAAACAGGCUAUUAGUUUAUGAUUUAAAUUUACACAAUGAGACGUUACGUCAAUGGUUAAUUGAUACACACAAACUUAUUUGAGUUAUUUAUGACGUCAAUCGUAGCCUUUUUACAAAUAAAUAAAACUCACUUGUGAUAAAAAGCGAAAGGAGAAAAUAGGGAGCGAAAGGAAAACUAGUUGUAAAUUUGUGAAAUUUUAAAUGCUCACAAUUUUGCUCUCAGAUGUCCAUUUGAGGUGAUUUUUGUUUUGAUCUAGUAUAUUUUUCAGAGAUCUAUGUAGAUAAACUGCUGAAAGGGGAUUUGGUCAAGCCAAUUUUUUUUAAAGAUGUCUUUGAUCUCAUCCAAUUAGCAAUUUUCUCCAAUUUGGAACACAAUUUUCAUUCUUCUUCAGCAAAAUUUGGAUGAAAAAUAAUGGAUAUGAAGACCAAAGUCGUAUGGUAAGGUAGAUGUGAAAGUCAACUUCAACAUAUUAUAUUAAAUUUUGAAAGUCACGUAGUUGGCACUAGUUAACAAUAUAAAUAGAAAAGAGUGUUUCCAUAUUAACACAUAAUGCUUACUUUACUUGGUAAACUUGCAGCUCCAAUAAAAGUCUAUUUUACCUUAGCCGUAAGGGUUCAAACCUAGGUAGAUGGAUUUAGGUAUUUAAUUAAUUGACUAAUUUCUAUUUUUCAUUAUUUUGGUACUUUAAAAAACAUAGGGAAGACAAGUAUUAGUAUUUAAUUGACUAAUUUCCUUUUUCAGUUUGAAUUUGUUAGUUUCAUAAAAUAAAAUAAAAAAAAAAAAUAGGAACCCAUGCCUUUGGUGUGCGGGUGUCUAGCACAUAGUGCACCCGCGGUGGGCACCCACGGUGAGCGGGUGCAUGGAACUAUGAUGUGCCCGUGGAACCAUGGAUGCCAAUUGUGCCCAUGACGCCUAUAGAGCCCAUUGGUGCAAUUGGCACAUAUGGUGCCCAUUAGUUGUGGCGCUAUUGGCACUUGUGAUGCCUAGGGUGCCCAUAGGGUCAUAAAUUUGUGCUCAGAUUUGUGUUUUGAGUGAAACAUCUUUUUGAUCUCAUGUAUUUUAUUUUUUUUGCCAUCUAUGCGGACAAACUACCAUUAGGCAGUUUGGUAAGCCCAAUUUUUUUGAAAAUCCCAUUUAAUUAAAAAAUUUUCCAAUUCAAUUUAGCAAAUAUCAUAUAAAAAUUAAUGAAUUUGAAGAUCAAAAUCAUGUGGUAAAGUGAAUGUAAAUGUCAAUUUUUAAUGUUUCAAAUUUAAUUUUUUAGAAUGAGGUAGGUUGAAUAAGUUAAUGAUAUAGAUUUUAAAAAAAGUGUUUAACUAUAACAUGUAAGGUCCACUUUGAUUGUUGGUCUUGCAUGCUCCACUAAACUUCAACAUCAAACCCUUGGAAGCCAUCGAGGUCGUGCAAUUACUGAACACAAUAGGCUCUGACUAUCACAAUUUAAUUUAUGAUUGCAGGUUAUUAAUGAUGAACAUCCAAGCACCUCAUCCCGCCCACAUCUUUAGAAAGCAAAACAAAGUGGCGGACACACUAGCAAAGCUUGGAUUUUCAGUAGCAGAUUUUGGCCAGACACAUAUUUUGUCAAACCCUCAAUCUACUGUAGCUGUCUUUGUCCAAGGAUAUAUGCUAGGAAUAUCGAAUGUAAGAAAUAUUAGUGUGGACUUUAUUAACCUACUAUGUUGGGAUGUGUCUACUAAUCUAAACACCUGUAUCAGAUCGGAUUAAGUUGCGUUAAUAUAAUCAUUCUUUUAACCAAAAAAAAACUUCAACUUUUUUUUUAUUUCUCCUAUUUUUGUGAUCUAUUUGGUGGUUUGGACGAGUCGAUUUUCUAAAAAACUGCUUUCAUCUCAUUCAAUCGACACUUUACCCCAAUUCGAUACAAAAUUCUCAUUCUUCUUGAGGCAAAAUCUAAUGAAAAAUAAUGAAUUUAAAUAUCAAAGUUGUAUUGUAAGGAAAUGCGAAUAUCAUUCAGUUUUUUAAAAUGAGGUAGAUAGCAUAAGUUAACUAUAUAAAUUAUAAAUAGUGAUUAAAAAUGUUACAAAAGCCCUAUUUGACUUGUUUGUCUUGCAAGUUCCACUUGACUUAUAUUAUACCUCAACCACAUGGGUUUGAACCUAGAUGAGUGCAUUUAGUUAUCUUAUUGACUUAUUUCAUCUUCUUAGUAAAUUUAGUUACAUUUUUUUAAAAUAGGGAAAACAUGCAAGUUAAAAUUUUAGCAAGUAUCAUAAGAAUAUUGAUUGGUUUCUAUUUUUUUAGUAGAUUUUACUACUUUCUUAAAAAGAUAAAAAGAAUUAGGAAAAACAUGCAAUUUACUGUAGCCAGUGCAGGUUUCUGACACUAUCUAUUAUAGAAGAGAUUAUACGCAAACAAGUAGGGUCUCAGGAUUGCGCUCAUUUAAUUUUUUGCAUAGUGGGGUGUGUGUAUAUUGUCAACUCAAGGACGCAUAAUUUAGUAUAUGGUGCGAACAUCCACCGCAGUAGUACCUUGUAAUUGUGGUGUGUGAGCACCAAACAUAUAGUCCACUCGUAGUGGGUGCCCAUGGUGCCUUGGUGCAUGGAACCAUGGUGUGCCUUUGGUGCUCAUGAUACCAGUUAAACAUGUGGUGUGCCUUUGGAGCUCAUGGCACCUUCGGUGCCCAUGGCGCUGAUAGUGCCUACGGUGCCCAUUGCGUCCUUGGUAAAAUAAAUAGGGAAAAUAUGAGAUUUAAAAUUUUAACAAGUAUUAAUAUUUUAUUGAAUAAUUUUCUCUUCUUACAUGACUUUAUUAUGUUUAAAAAAUAAAAAAUAAAUAGGAAAAACAUGCAAUUUAAUAAUUUAGCAAGUAUUUAUAUUUCAUUGAAUGAUUUCCCUUCUUUAUAGUUGAUUUUUUUACUUUUUAAAAUAAAUAAAUAAAUAAGGUAAGUAUGAGAUUUACAGUAGCGAGUGUUUGUUCUCAUAUAUGUCUUCUGCAAAAGAGGUUGUAAGCAAACAAGAGAUAUCUCAUAUGCUUACGUACUUUUAAUUUUUUGCGCAUCGAGUGUGCGUAUAUUGCAAACUCAAGGACAUACGAUUUGGUACAUAGCGCACGAUGUUCAUUGCAGUUAUUCAUUAUUAUUAUGGUACGCGAGUGCCUAACACAUAGUACAACUGCGGUGGGUGUCAAUGGUGCCUUGGUUCUUAUGGUGCCAAUAGUACCCGCAGUGUCCAUGGGUCCCUUGGUGCCAGUGGUGCCCAAGGAGCCUUUGUUGACCAUGGAGCCCAUGUCGCCCAUGCCGCCCAUGGUACCUUUGGGAAAUAAAUUGGAAAAUAUAAAAUUUUAAAUUUUCACUAGUAUUAAUAUUUUAUUAACUAGUUCUCUCUUACUUUAUAUUUUUACUUUUUGAAAUAAAAUCAAAAAAUAAAUAGGAAAAGCAUGCGAUCUAAUGUUUUAGCAAGUAUUAAUAUUUCAUUGAGUUAUUUUCUUUUCUUUAGAUUGAUUUUCUUACUUUUUCAUAAUUAACAAGUCAAAUAAGGUAAACAUUCAAUUUACUGUAGCGAGAGUUGGGUCUCAUAUUUAUCUACUAUAGAAGAGGUUGUAAGAAAAUAAGUGAUGUCUCAUGUGCUUACACUCUUUUGAUUUUUUGUUUAGCAAGGUGUGUAUAUUUCCAACUCAAGAACGUGUAAUUUGGUACAUGGCGCCUGACAUUCGUCGCAAUUGUACAUGGUUAUUGUGGUGUGCCGGUGCAUAAUACAUAGCGCACCCACGGAGGACUCCCAUGGUGCCCUGGUGUGGGUUCUCAUGGUAUGCCUUUGGUGCUCGUCACGCCCCUAGUGACCCUGACGCUCAUGGUGCCCUUAGUUAUAAUGGAGCCCAUGAUUCCAUUGGUGAC
rnacentral:lncRNA from 1 species